AAGAUUGUCAGCAAAGAAAAUGCUAAAAGGGAAGUUCAAAGGAGUUUCAUAUUUCAUAUUGCAAAGAAAAGAGUCAUAAAGCUAAAUGAAAUAUCAGAUGAAAUAAAGUCCUGGUUACACAUGAAGCAAAGGCAAAAAAGCACAGGAUGGAGGGGAAUCUGCACAUACUAAAUAUUUGAGUGAAGAGGCAAAGUAGAAGAAGAAAUUCCCCAUGGGGAUAUUUUAUUUGAUCAAGCUGAUAACUUGUUAUGCUGGGAAAAUAUGAAGUUUUCCUUGCUGCCUAAUUCCCAUUUUGAUGAAUUACAAGAAGAGUCAAGAGGGAAAGAAAAGAUGAAACAGAUUUUGUUUGCAAGUGUUUUUAACUGAAAGACACUGACUCCUUUCAAUUUAGUUCAGAGGCCAGUUUGCUGUUUCUGAAAAUGAAGUGUAUGAGUGACUUCAUGGCAUUUGUAUAUGCCUAUAAAAAUUGAUUUCUCUCUCUGAAGAGGUGAAGAGUGAAAUGAACAACUGUUUCUAAGGAACAUCAAAUCCAACCUCCUGCUGACUAUCUGAAUAAACAAGGAAAAUGCAAUUUGCAAGCCCAGCAGCUUAUAUCUGGGCAGCAUGCCUGUUUGAAAUAAACAUUUUUUAAAAGUAUUUUUGGGCCAGA